UCUCUCUCUCUCUCUCUCUCUCUCUCUCUCUCUCUCUCUCUCUCUCUCUCUCUCUCUCUCUCUCUCUCUCUCUCUCUCUCUCUCUCUCUCUCUCUCUCUCUCUCUCUCUCUCUCUCUCUCUCUCUCUCUCUCUCUCUCUCUCCGUGUUUUGCAGGACUUCCAUACCAAAACUUAUCACAACUCACACACAUUUCCAUACCAAAACUUAUCACAACUAUGAUUACUUUCUGCCAUUCCAUUAGCAAUCUGGUUACCAUUAGCUGAAGCAGCACUGGUGUCUUGUGAUGUUGCACUCUGCUUCAGCUCUGCAUACCAUACUUUGUCAGACAGAGGAUGUAUUAUUCUCUAACUGAUAUGAUCAUUAAUUUUAAAAGCAAACCUUCAGUUUAGUAUUGGUUUGAAUGUUAAUGUACAAACAAUUUUUAGAAAUUUAAAUAAUGGAGAUGUACAUUUAGAGUAUUACAGUUCCUAGUUAGGUUUGUUUGUUAUAUGUAAUUUUUAAAUUGCUGCCGCAUAUUUGAUCUUGAUUUAUAUUAGAUAUCUAAGUAUUCGUAUAAUUUGCAUUCCAUUUUAGAUAGUAUGUUAAGUAUUUGAUACGUUGAUUUUUGACAAACUUUCUGCUGAAUAUCAGUGAGUUGGUGAUUGAUCAUGCCUUCAGAGCAGCUGUUGUGAGUUUCUGAUGAUUUGUACUUUUUCUUUGAUUUUUUUUUUUUUUUUUUUUUUUUUUUUUUGAAACCCAAUAAAUUAUGAAACUAGCAUACUUUUUAGUAUGGUAUUUCAUGAAAGCUAUUCCCCAUGGCAGGGAGGAUUGCCUUGCCACACUUCCCAUUGCUCAGUGGAAAGAAUUCUGCUACUGCAGCGUUGUUUUCUGUGCAUCAUGAAAGGCAAUUAACAGAGACAAAGCAAAUAAUCUAGGAAGCAUUCCUCUUGCAGCCUUUUGCAUUUUCAUCUUCAUUCAGUGUUCUUCACAUUAAUCCCUAGUGGGUUUAGUUGGCCUUAUAUGUCCCUAGUAUCUCCAUCCAGACCCAGCUGCCUCAUGUCUCUCAUUUCCAUCCCUCCAGACAAAGCAUGAUGUAAUGAUCCAAAGUAAGAAUCUCCAUAUGUCUUCAGGACAGUGGCAUCCUGGAUCUCACAUGAACCAGUGUAUGUUACCAGUGGCAGUGUCUUAAUUGGAAAUGGAGUACAAGAGAAGGAGGAAAGUUGUGUAAUGAUCCAAACACAGAAUCCCCACAACCCUACUAAAGCAUGGGAUGCACCUUGUUGCUCCAUCAGUAAUGUGCUGGCUUUCAUGCUCAGAACCCUUUCUAAAUCCUUUCUAGUUCUCAGGGUUGGCCGAAAACUACGAAUUUCACAUGAUCUUCACUGGUGGAUAUUUCAAGCAGCUGUAUGAGGUUUAACUAACCUCUUGCAUUCACUGCAAAGUGAGUAUGCAUCACAUAUAAUUCAACUGGAUCCUGUCUUGAAAAUUAUUGUACUGUACCAUAAUAUAGUAAAGAAAAAAAAUAAAUGAAAUAUCAAGUGGAAAUAAAUUGAAAGAAAGGGAGAGGCAAAGAAAUUCUAUGUGAGAAAUUCCAGAGAAUGUAAGAUGCAUUAAUAGUGUUGAGAAAAACCAGGUACUCAUUGCAAACAUGUAUGAUGAAAGAAUAGUUCUGGAGGUCAGGAUAAAGGUCUUGUGCACCCCUCCCCUCCACCCUUGAGCCUCCUGUUGAAACACACACACACACACACACACACACACACACACACACACACACACAUAUAUAUAUAUAUAUAUAUAUAUACAUGAAAGAGGAAUAAAUCCUUGGCCUUGAGGUGCCGUAACCAAAGGGGAAAUUCUCAGGAGGAUCUCUGAGCCAUGUAUGCCAUGUCGGGUUUACCUAGUGCCUCCGGUCAAUACAAAAGGAACAUAGGUUGAACAAAAAUAAUGUGUUACUGUAGAAAGUUAGGUUAGCUACAACGCAUGACAUCAGAUGAGGAUGAAUUGUAUAAAUUGAGGAUUGGUUGCAUAUGGGAGUGCAUAAUAUAUAGAAACAAAGCAACCGUGAUUUUUUAGACAAGAAAACGAAAAUGUCUGAAUUGGUGUGAAAGGUUUCGUUUACUGAUCUCAAAAUAGAUGGCUUGGCUAAUACAUUAUUAUUUUAUAUAUCAUCGGCUCUUUUUCACUUAUUUAUCUAUUCAUUAAUUUAUUUAUUCAUCUAUCAUGUACGUGUCACUUACAUCUAUCAUGCACAUACAGCCGGGUAGACUCCAGUUGGAAAUACUAUAUUAGAACAUAAUUUGUACGACAGUGAUCUACAUGUCACUAUGAGAUCGUAUCAUCCAGAUCUUUAACAGUGAAGCACCGAACGCGGCUUUUGUUUCUGAAUGCAUAAAUAGCUAUGAAGUAUAAUAGGAUUUGAACAAGAACUUGCGAACUGAAUGGAUAAAUAAGUAAACAAAAUAAGGAAAUCAAUAAAUAACAUUCAAACAUAAAAUCUGAACAGAGACUUGCGAAGCGAAACCGCACGAAACAGCUUCGCUCUUCCAUUCUUGACUCGCCCGCCGCUGAGAAGGGAAGGCUGGACAGCGGUGGUCCAUGCUUUACUUGCUGUGUGCCAUUCCUCACUGGCUGCGCUGUACCUUACCCUUCACUCACUGUACCCAAAGUGCUCUUAAGUAUACAGAGAAGAGGAACAAAGAAAAGUGGUAAUGGCGGAAGUCAAUGAUGUGGAUGACCUAAAGUGGCUGAAGAUUGGGGGCCUGAUACAAGAAUGACAGCAUAAAUAUUAUGGAGAUGGUGUGAAUGCUACAUGUGCCCUACUCCUUAGAUGGACAUGUUGUGAAGGUGGUGCUAUGAAGAUGUCCAACUAACAAAAAAGAUGAAAAUGAUAAAAGAGUGGAAGGCACUUUUCCCUACCUAAGGAGACUGAAGGUCUAUUAUGGUCACUGGAACGUAAACUACUGUUUCCUGGUUAGUCCAGCUCUGCUGUCCACUCCACACUACUCGUUUUACUUUCGUGUCUCCCUUAUUUUGUGCUAUUUCUUGGUUUCUUACUCACUAGAUUACUGUUAAGUUGAAACUGAAUAUUCAAGAUGAGAGCUGAGUUUUCAGUUAAAGAAUAUUAAAGUUGAAUUCACAGAUGAAGUUAAAAAUGUUUGUAUUUGUUAAUUGUUAGUGAUGCAUAAACCAAUAAACCCCACUGGUGAAAUCACAAUGUAAGUAUAUAUUACAUAUAAGCCUCAAGCUAUAAUGAAUAACUGAACACCCAAGGGUAAAAAACUACAUACCUAGUACUAGCACCAAACAAGCUUAGCCAGCAUUCAGCUGGAGGUAGAUAACACAGGUCUGCAUGAGAUACUGAACAAUCAAUACCAUCAAUGAAUGCUAAUAAUGUAAUUUGGAGUUUUAGUCUCUCAUGACUAUCUUUGAAUGCUGAGUGUGUGGCCAGUAUUUUUUGUAUGUUGUCUUCCUGUUUGGGAAUGAAGAACAAUAUUCUAAAAUACAAUUUAAAAGUCCAAAACUUA